rnacentral:misc_RNA from 1 species
ACCAGCAAUAAACUGCACAUCAACCGAGUUAGAAAAGCUGAUUGCUUAAAACUGUAUUUGUUAAAACUGAAAUAUUUCUCUUUAAAGGGAUGAUUUAGGACAACAAGUGGUUUGAGAACACCCCAAGAAGAACAAAUGCAUAUUGCGAGUUUUUAUCCUACAUAUCUUGCCUACUUUAUGUUCCCUACAUAUGACAGAUUCUGAUAAAACACUUGUUCCGGAGUGAACAACUCAAGGUCUUCCUCUGAACUUACUAGAGUGUCACCAGUGAAAACUGC